UACGUAGGGGGCUAGCGUUGUCCGGAAUCAUUGGGCGUAAAGCGCGUGUAGGCGGCCCGGUAAGUCCGCUGUAAAAGUCGGGGGCUCAACCCUCGAAAGCCGGUGGAUACUGUCAGGCUAGAGUACGGAAGAGGCGAGUGGAAUUCCUGGUGUAGCGGUGAAAUGCGCAGAUAUCAGGAAGAACACCCGUGGCUAAGGCGGCUCUCUAGUACGGUACUGACGCUGAGACGCGAAAGCGUGGGGAGCGAACAGG
rnacentral:rRNA from 1 species